ACCAUGGAUGAGGAUAUGGCCGCACUCAUUGUGGACAACAGCUCCAGCAUGUGCAAGGCCGGAUUCAUGGCUGACGAUGCCCCCAGGCCAUCUUCCCCUCCAUCAUGGGGCACCCCAGGCACCAGGGCAUGAUUUGGGCCUGAGUCAGAGGGACUCCUAUGUGGGUGACAAGGCCCAGAGCAAGAUAGGGAUCCUGACCCCUGAAAUACCCCACUGAGCACGGCAUCAUCACCAACUGGGAUGACAUGGAGAAGAUCUGGUACCACACCUUCUACCACGAGCUGCAUGUGGCUCCCGAGGAGCACCCUGUGCUGCUGACCAAGGCCCUCCCGAACCCCAAGGCCAACUUAGAGAAGAUGACCCAGAUCAUGUUUGAGACCUUCAACACACUAGCCAUGUACAUGGUCAUCCUGGCUGUGCUAUCCCUGUGCACCUCUGGCUGUACCACUGGCAUCAUGAUGGACUCCAGUGAUGGGGUCACCCACACUGUGUCCAUCUACGAGGGGUAUGCCCUCCCCCACGCCAUCCUGCAUCUGGACUUCUGGCUGGGACCUGACUGAUUACCUCAUGAAGAUCCUCACCUAGCAUGCCUGCAGCUUCACCACCAUGGCUGAGUGGGAAAUCCCGUGUGACAUCAAGGAGAAGCUUUGCUACAUCACCCUGGACUUCGAGCAGGAAAUGGCCACAGCGGCCUCCAGCUCCUCCCUAGAGAAGAGCUAUGAUCUGCUGGAUGGCCAGGUCAUCACCACUGGCAAUGAGCAGUUCUGCUGCCCCAAGGCAUGCUUCCAGCCUUCCUUCCUGGGCAUGGAAUCCUGUGGCAUCCAUGAAACUACAUUCAACUCUAUCAUGAACUGUGACAUGGACAUCCGCAAAGACCUGUUUAUCAACACAGUACUGUCUGGUCGUACCACCAUUUACCCUGGCAUCGCUGACAGAGUACAGAAGGAGAUCACCACCCUGGCAUGCAGCACGAUGAAGAUCAAGAUCAUUGCUCCUCCCAAGAGCAAGUACACCAUGUGGAUCGGCAGCUCCAUCCUGACAUCACUGUCCAUCUUCCAGCAGAUGUGGAUAAGGAAGCAGGAGUGCAACUAGUCUGGCCCCUCCAUCGUCCACUGCAAAUGCUUCUAGGUGGGCUAUGACUUAGCUGUGUUACACCCUUUCUUGACGAAACCUAACUUGUGCAGAAUACAAGAUGAGAUUGGCAUGGCUUUAUUUGUUUUUUGCUUUGUUUUGUUUUGUUUUGCUUUUUUGGCUUGACUCAGGAUUUUAAAAACUGAAAUGGUGAAGAUGACAGUAGUCCGUUGGAGGGAGCAUCCCCCAAGGUUCUACAAUGUGGCCUAGGACUUUGAUUGGACAUUAUUCUUUUUUUAAUAGUCAUUCCAAAUAUCGUGAGAUACGUUAUUACAGGAAGUCCCUUGCCCUCC